AUUACAGGUACGUGUAGUCACACAAUAGACAUGCCACUGUCAUUUCUGAUUUGGAAUGAGAGAAACAUGUUCAUGCGAUGUGUCUGUGUUAAUAUGAAAGCCACUCGUAGUCCACCCGAGGUGUGCAUUUGUGUAGUCAAAUCAAAUUCCCAAAAAAAGAUGCUAUAUGCAUGACAGGGAAAUUCUAAUAUAUAUAACUGCUGUUAUUUUAAAUGUCAAUUUAAUGUAAAUUGUACAUAAAUGUAUUGAUUGAGUUGUUUAUACUUGACUUCAAACACAAAUGUUAAAUGGGUUUUGUUGUUUUUUCACACAAACACACACAAACAGUGGGGAAACACGAAACAUUCGUUCUGCAAAAACACAACGUUUCGAGCCAUAUA